UACGUAGGGUGCAAGCGUUAAUCGGAAUUACUGGGCGUAAAGCGUGCGCAGGCGGUUGUGCAAGACAGAUGUGAAAUCCCCGGGCUUAACCUGGGAACUGCAUUUGUGACUGUACGGCUAGAGUGUGUCAGAGGGGGGUAGAAUUCCACGUGUAGCAGUGAAAUGCGUAGAUAUGUGGAGGAAUACCGAUGGCGAAGGCAGCCCCCUGGGAUAACACUGACGCUCAUGCACGAAAGCGUGGGGAGCAAACAGG
rnacentral:rRNA from 1 species